UACAAAGUUUUUGAGCCAAUGAGGAGCCAACAUCACAUUAUAUUAAUUCUUGUCACCCACCUAGUAGCGCCUCUACAGAAUACAGUAGACCAGUAGCAUCGAUUAAUACUUGAGCUGUCUUUCCCCAGGUUUUACAUCCUCACAUUGACCCACACUCAAUACUGCUGGUCCAGCUGUUUAGUCAAAAUGCUGUUUAUACCCCUGAUCCAAGCAGUCAGCGUCAGGGAAGCGUUACUUCCCACUCCGGAGGGCAACCAGACCCUGAUGCCCUGUCACCGCUAGGAUGGGCAGCUCUUCCACUGUUCCAAGGUGCCUAUGCAUGCACAGGGGUGCACCAUACACCUUUGUUUGAAGGAACUCCAGAUGCUGCAUUUCUAGGGUCUGUAUCCUCCUGCCCUGUGAAAAAUGCCCACGCAAAAGGCCUGAAGUGAAAGAGCCAGAAGCUGCUGAAGAAUUUUGUUAGCCUGGCUGUCAAGGUGUGGGACGGACAUUACUUUGAUGAUGAGCGCCAUGAUUUGCCUGUUAUCGACGAACUGUGGGCAAUAUGAAGAAGUUUCAGAAAACGCAGGCAAGCAAGUCAGGAAAAGAUAUGUCCCAGCUGGUUCUGCAGUCUUUUGAUCGCAAGAUCAGGAAGCAGUGACGGAACAGCGCGGAGUAUCAACGCGAAGAACACUUUUAUGAGGCUGCAAUGGCAGAUGCAUUCUACACACUAAUGGUCAGUAUUACAAAUUCACAGAGAAUCGGAGUAUGGAUCACUGAACUCCUAUUGGAGAGCAUUCUGUUAACAAAUACACAAAUAAUUUAUGACUUCAUCAGUCCUAUGACACUUAUCAAUCAAACCAUGCAAAGGAAGACAUGCCUCAAACGCAACUGUAAUGUCUUAAUUCAGAAUGGUCUAAAUAAUGCCUUAUUUGAAGAGGCAGU